ACGUGCAAAGUCUGUGACACUGCAAUUGCCCUUUCAAAAAGCAGAAGUGCUGAUACAUGGACCCCAUAACUCAGACUCUUCUCCAGUCUGCCAAACAACUGGAGUUGCUAAUGGCUCUAACUUUCUGGCCGGUGUGUGUGUGGCUGCUAUAGCUUACCCAAAGACUGUUCAAGAAACCUCGUCCUCCAGGAAUGCAUCCAUCUUUGUACUGGACUGUGUUUGCUGAAACUGGUGUCUGCAAUGAGAAAGGAAUUCUCCUGGCCUCUCUCGUCCUCCUUGGAACCCCAGUCUGUUGGGAAAGAGGAGAAAGGACUGGAGAUACUGACUGAGGCAUAGCUGGGGAUCAGAACCAGCCUCUGUGCCUGAGAAACCGCAGCCAUGAGAAACCACCACAGCCCUAUAUUUUGGAAGACCUAGGAGCUAGCCUGAGAUCAGCACCUCAUCUGUGGUAGGGAAACAUGAGCACACAGAUGGGGCACAGAAAACACACUGCGGGACUUUGAUCCACUAACCACUUGAUCUCCAGAGUUGAUACAAGUCCUGGUCCAACUGGCAAGCUCCUGGCAUCAGUACUUCUCUGGCUCGCACCUCCCGGUCUGUGCAAAUUGUUUAAGAAAAGCAGGUCAGCAAAACAUCACCUGCUAUUGUUGGGCAGAGAGAGUGUGUACUCCCCUCAAAUAGCUCCUAACCCUCCAUGCUUGCAUACCUAAAGGAGGUCAAACUCCGUUUGGGUUUGUUUUUGUUUAUUCCCCAGUUUUAGAGCCUUUCUGUUCAACUUGCUUUGCAGGGAGGAUGGAGGCAAAGGCAAGGGGCUCAGAUAUAAAGGAAACCUGCCACACACCAAAUCCUGGGUGAGCUCUUGCCAUCUGUAUCACCUUCAUUCUCUUCCAUGGCAUUGUAUCCUUCCAACAGCCCACUGAAAUGAUGGGUACUGAAACUGAGGCCUGAUAGGCACAAAAACACUAGUCCCCUUAUUUGUGGUUUCAGUUGCCAGCAGUCAACUGAGUUUCUGAUAUACGAAAUUCAAAAACAGACAGUUCCAGUUGCAUGUGGCUGAGGAUAACAAAAUUUUGUACCAUCCUAUUCCAUUCCACCCCAAACAUGAAUCACCUCUUCAUCUAGCAUUUGCAAGCUGUGUAUACUACCUGCCCAUGGGCCACUCAGUAAUCCAGUAUUUCUACACUGUGUGUAUAUACUAUCUGCCAGGGA